rnacentral:rRNA from 1 species
GACGUAGGGCGCGAGCGUUGUCCGGAUUUAUUGGGCGUAAAGGGCGCGUAGGCGGUGCUCUAAGUCGGAUGUGGAAACUCUGGGCUCAACCCAGAGCCUGCAUCCGAAACUGGAGUGCUAGAGUUCUGGAGGGGGUAGCGGAAUUCCUGGUGUAGCGGUGAAAUGCGUAGAUAUCAGGAGGAACACCGGUGGCGAAGGCGGCUACCUGGACAGAAACUGACGCUGAGGCGCGAAAGCUAGGGGAGCAAACAGG